GCAGACACAUUCCAGCCAAUCAGCAGCAGACCCUCCCUCCCAGACCCUCCCACCUCCUGGACAGCUCACUAAGAAUACAGCUUCACAAUGAAUGUAAAAUGGAUGCUGUCCAGGAGGUGGGAGGGUCUGGGAGGGAGGGUCUGCUGCUGAUUGGCUGGAAUGUGUUG